AUGAGCCUCAGUGGCGCUGGCUGCAGAGACCGUGAUCACUCACUUUGGCUUCUUGGAACCGCCCUAGCACAGGGCUGUGGGCUCCCUCACCUGGCCUGGCCCUCGGGCUACCCCUGCCACUGCCUUGAUGGGAGAAGCCGCUGGAUGGGCAGCCUCACGUGUGCUGGAAGAAGUCCUGGCCUGGAGCCCACAGGCCUGUCCCACACCUGUUCCAGGAAGCCUGCCUGGACUGCCCUCCAUCCGGAGUCUCCGACGUCUCCGUGCCUGUUCUGGUGAGGUCGUUCCAUGCUGGAACCUCUCUGGCUUUUGCAGAGAAGCUCUGAGGUCCUCUGGCUGACUUGCGUUCAUCCUGAAAACAUUAGGCUCCGGGUGGCCCAGUCUGUGUGCCGGAGUGUGGCGUGGAGGCUGGAGGCUCGCCCUGCUGUCAGCUGACCUGGGCUGGCGCCUGGGGGGCCCCUGGAACUGGUGACUUGGGGGGCUUGUAGGGGUGGCUAUCUCCCCGCUUUGGGUUGAUGUGAGUCACACACACGGUGCACGGGUGUGUGAGCCAGCCCCAGUCAACGAAGCUGUUAGGACUUUUGUAUUUAUUUUGGACAAUCACCAGGGGGGCCAGGGUGACUGCAGCAGAGUGGGCUGGGAGGGCAGAGAGCAGAAAGGGCCGGGUGAGGACUUGCCUCUUCCUGUAAGAUAGUGUGUCCUGAGCGUGGCCACCAGGCCUCCCUCACUGUCCCUAGGGUGAAGUCUAGCUCCUCUGCUGACCCCUGUGGAGUCCCAUGACUCCUCCAAAAGGCUCGAUUCCCACAGCCUCCCCUGGCUGGAGCAGCCCAAGCCGUGCAGGCUUGCGGAUCCCACGGGAUGUAGGGGCUCUGGGGUUGCCCCGGAAUCUUCCGAGAGUAGCCUCCUGGGUGCUCCAUCGUGGUGGGCUUCCCCAGAGAGUGCCUCACGUUUGGGGGCGAGGAGGGCACUUGCUGAAUGAAGGCCAAAAUGGGGCAGAAAAAUGCCCGUGCUGUGCAGAGCUGGCAUCUAAGGCCAUGCUGGCCCAUGAGCAUCUUCCUGUGUCCUGACAGCGGAACCCGGAGGCAGAGGGCUUGCCUGCCACUCUCACUCUGAGACUCUUCGAGAAUGAGCUUGGUGACCCUCCAGGCCCUGGCCCCGAUGGAACCUCCCUGGAGGGGGCUAUUGGCUGAUGUACUUGCCCCCGCUGAGACCUGGGCCUGCUGAAGAUGAGCCCCCAGCCCCAGGAGAGCCAGGAACGAUGCUAAAGCUUCCUGAUUCGUGACCCUGGCUAAGCAAAUGUAACGGCCCCAUUGACUCGCAGCCAUUGGAGAACUGAGCUUAAGAAUCUUUUGGCGGUCUGGAAACUUGGAAAAAGAAAGGGGCAACGUAUCCCACUUGAGCCAAGCAGCCAACUCGUGAGUGUGGGUAACAAGCAGGGACAAAAGACCACCAGAGUCACAGAGACGCAGCUGCGGUGACACCGAGGCUGUUGGCCGGAGGUCAUCUCAGCUCCUAGCUGGGUAUUAGCUGGAGGCUGUCCUCAGUCCAGUGCCGUGGGCCUCCCCAGCUUGGCUGCGUGUGGCAGCAAAUCCAGCCAGGCGGUCCUCAGCAAGAGAGACAUCACAAUCUCACAGAUCCACUCGGCUCUCUUCUCUUCUGCGUCCUGCUCUAUGGCCUGGGAAGCUGAUCUCCAAGGAUCGCAUUCCUAGGGCUCUCUGGCCCAUGGGCUUCCCGUUGGGUUUGCCCAAUGGACAGCCAUGGCAGAAGAUCAAAGGGAAGAUGGCAGGAAGCUGUCCCCCACUCCUCGCCUGGCUGAGUUCUGGCGAUGGCUGCCAUCCAGGGUCCUGAGUCCCACCAGUUUUUACCCCUUGAAGUGAGAAAGAACACGUCUACAACCCUCCCUCAUUCCAGAGGCUGUGUUUUUGCCCUUUGGUCAUGCAGAUGGGGCUAAAGCGAAGUUACAACAUUGGAAAAUGUCUUCUUAACGUCACACUGAUCUCCUUAAGGCAACGAGCCCCACAUGCUCUCUGAGGCCUGUGCACGUGUUCUGAGGACCCAGUUAUGUGCUGCGUGAUUCCAGAGGUGAACAGACCCUCACAGAUCACCUCUCCUCACCCUCUCAUGAGAGGGAAACUGAGGCUCAGGGGGAGAAUUGGCAAAGGUUACACUUGGUGGUGGGUUUGGAAUCUGCCCUGUGGACGCCCGACUAACCAUUUCUGCCAGAUGCGCGUGGGAAGUAAAAUGGGAAGAGGUGCUCCAUAGGAGGAGGGGACGUGGGUACAGUCACGUGGACCCGUGAGCCGGUCACCUGCGAGGCACCAGGGCCUACAGGAAAGGUGCCCGCUGUCGGCUUCCGCAGGGAAUUUCGUUAUCUUUGUGAGGUAGGGUGGAACUUGCAUCCUGAACAUUAAAGUUUACAUGCCAAGGAGGGCGGUGGAGUCCUUGGAACUUCCUGCCUCCCCCUGAGGCUGCCUCCCCAUGCGAUUGACCUGGUCUGGCUGGGCCUGAUGCUGGGCUCAAAGAGAACACAGGUCUCACCCUCCUAUGUGGCGUGUGGUGAAGACUAAGGAGGUCCCCAGGACCCUGAGGGUUGCCCUUGGGUGCAUUGGAGUAGAGGCCAGGGAAGUCCAUGUCCUUUCCGAGCCAGGCCUUGCCGCCGAGGUACAGCCACAGUGUCCCCCUUCCAGCUGCAGAGCCGCUGCUUCCUCAUCUGUCAGGUGGGAACAACGACCCCCACUCUGUGCACCUCACUGGCAGUAGCGAGCACGAAGUGUGAGGGUGGACUCUGCAAGGUGGAAGCCAUGUCCCUGCAGGUUGCAUCUGUGCUGCCUGCCCUGCUGAGGGACGGGAACAGCAGCAUAGCCUUCGGUACCACGUACCUUGUUUGUCAAAACUGGACCUGCCACAGCGCGGUGGCCCUUCUCCUGGGGAAACACACUGUGCCCCAGGAGGUGUGUGGACAAACACCUUCACAGCACUGAUGCUGAGACAGCCAGAGCCCAGAAACGCCCAGCCGCCCCCGGUAGGAAAAUGAAUAAGUAAAUUGGGGCAAUUGGAGAUUGUGAUGUCUCUCUUGCUGAAGACCACCUGGCUGGAUUUGCUGGGGUGGGACCCAGACCGGGACGUUUUCAUACACACAAAACGGGCUGUGCCAGGUGGCCUUCUCCAGGGCACGGUGGGUGGGGGAGUCUCAGGCUGCCACGUGCCUGGCAGGCUUGGGACGAGGUGAAGGGAGGUGAGUGUUCGUGGGGAUGCUGGGACCCCAUUCGGGCCAGGUCAAUCACAUGGGGAGAUACAGUAUCAACAGUAAAGGAUCUUUAGAUAUGUAAACACACAGAUAAGUGGCCGGUGUAAUGUGCAGAAAAUGCUAAACAACAGAAUGCAAUAAUACAAAGUUCCAAAGCAGGCAACCCUAAACUCCAUGUUC
rnacentral:lncRNA from 10 species